GCUACAUUGGAUGAAAGUAAACUUGCUAUUUUAAUCAAAUGGCUCGACAUCAAACAUAACUAAGGAUCAAUCAUAUUGGUACUGCAUAGAAUAGAUUAACUGACUGAUAGUAAAUGUUUUCAAAAUGCAGCAAGGUUGUGAUUUCUCAUAAUCUCUGCAAGUUCAUGCUAGAGAAAAUACACAAAGGUCACAUGGGUAUUUAAAAAUGCAGGAAAUGUGCAAGAUAAGCAAUGUUCUGGCCAGAAAUGAACCAAGACCUUUCAGAUAGAGUGUCCUCCUGUCAUACAUGCAGCCACAUCCAGUUCCAGAGGGACCUUAUCAAAAGUUCGCUGUUGACUUGUGGACAUGUAACAAUGCAGAAAUACAAGGGCAGCCUUAGAAUUCUGUGCCUACAGCCAGCACCUGACAUAACGUAACACCUUCCCUCUACUCGAUUGGACAAGAUCUUAUUGGAGGACGCCCGCGUUCUAAUUUACCCAUGAAGAAUGAUCUGCUUGCAACAAGGAAAGAUAAACAAGAGAAGCAGUUAAACAAGAUUCAGAAAGAGGGACAAAAGGCAUACUUUGACUCGAGCUAAACCUGUACCUAAAUUGCUAUUGGAGACAAGCUGAGACUCAAGGACAAGGUUAAUAUGUGAUCACAGAAUGGCUCUACAGAAGAAAAAAUGCAACCAAGCGACAUUCUAAAAGACCAGAGCAGGAGUGUUCUAACUCUGAAUCAGAUGGAGUGCUAAAUAACAACAUGGAGAUUGAGCCAGAGACUGAUCUGGAUAGUUAG